AUUGAACGCUGGCGGCAUGCCUUACACAUGCAAGUCGAACGGCAGCACGGGUGCUUGCACCUGGUGGCGAGUGGCGAACGGGUGAGUAAUACAUCGGAACAUGUCCUGUAGCGGGGGAUAGCCCGGCGAAAGCCGGAUUACUACCGCAUACGAUCUACGGAUGAAAGCGGGGGACCUUCGGGCCUCGCGCUUUAGGGUUGGCCGAUGGCUGAUUAGCUAGUUGGUGGGGUAAAGGCCUACCAAGGCGACGGUCAGUAGCUGGUCUGAGAGGACGACCAGCCACACUGGGACUGAGACACGGCCCAGACUCCUACGGGAGGCAGCAGUGGGGAAUGUUGGACAAUGGGCGAAAGCCUGAUCCAGCAAUGCCGCGUGUGUGAAGAAGGCCUUCGGGUUGUAAAGCACUUUUGUCCGGAAAGAAAUCCUUGGCCCUAAUACGGUCGGGGGAUGACGGUACCGGAAGAAUAAGCACCGGCUAACUACGUG
rnacentral:rRNA from 1 species